AUUGAACGCUGGCGGCAUGCCUUACACAUGCAAGUCGAACGGUAACAGGUCUUCGGAUGCUGACGAGUGGCGAACGGGUGAGUAAUACAUCGGAACGUGCCCGAUCGUGGGGGAUAACGAAGCGAAAGCUUUGCUAAUACCGCAUAAGAUCCAAGGAUGAAAGCAGGGGACCGCAAGGCCUUGCGCGAACGGAGCGGCCGAUGGCAGAUUAGGUAGUUGGUGGGAUAAAAGCUUACCAAGGCGACGAUCUGUAGCUGGUCUGAGAGGACGACCAGCCACACUGGGACUGAGACACGGCCCAGACUCCUACGGGAGGCAGCAGUGGGGAAUUUUGGACAAUGGGCGAAAGCCUGAUCCAGCCAUGCCGCGUGCAGGAUGAAGGCCUUCGGGUUGUAAACUGCUUUUGUACGGAACGAAAAGACUCUGGUUAAUACCUGGGGUUCAUGACGGUACCGUAAGAAUAAGCACCGGCUAACUACGUGCCAGCCGCCGCCGUAA
rnacentral:rRNA from 1 species